rnacentral:lncRNA from 1 species
UAAGCGAAAAUUAAAUAGUUAAUGCUAUAGAAAUUAAGAGAUUAGAUAAGGCCUGUGGGUCGAGGCAUACGAAAGCACUGUCCUAAAAACGAGAUUGCCCCUUCAUGUGCGAGGCUCCAACAAUCAUUCCUAGCGAUACAACGACUACUGUCCACCCCGUCGGCACGUCUUCAGGGUGGUGCAAUACGAACCCAAUAAGCUUUCAAAGAUCUAGCAAAAACGGCAAUGCAAAGUGUAGAAUAGAUGUAAAAAUCAAUGUGGAAGGUGAAGAGGAAGAUGUAAAAAUC